GUGCCAGCCGCCGCGGUAAUACGGAGGGUGCGAGCGUUAAUCGGAAUUACUGGGCGUAAAGCGCGCGUAGGCGGUUUGUUAAGCCAGAUGUGAAAGCCCUGGGCUCAACCCAGGAACGGCAUCUGGAACUGGCAAGCUAGAGUACAGUAGAGGAAGGUAGAAUUCCACGUGUAGCGGUGAAAUGCGUAGAUAUGUGGAGGAAUACCAGUGGCGAAGGCGGCCUUCUGGACUGAUACUGACGCUGAGGUGCGAAAGCGUGGGGAGCAAACAGGAUUAGAUACCCCUGUAGUCC
rnacentral:rRNA from 1 species